GGCUCGUUGGUCUAGGAGUAUGAUUCUCGCUUUGGGCGCGAGAGGUCCCGGGUUCGAAUCCCGGAUGAGCCA
rnacentral:tRNA from 1 species